UUUAAAUGGCCGCAGUAUACUAACUGUGCAAAGGUAGCAUAAUCAUUAGUCUUUUAAUUGAAGGCUGGUAUGAAUGGUUGGACGAGAUAUUAACUGUUUCAUAAAAAUUUAUAUUAGAAUUUUAUUUUUUAGUCAAAAAGCUAAAAUUUAUUUAAAAGACGAGAAGACCCUAUAAAUCUUUAUAUUUAAAUUAUUAUAAUUUUAUAGAUAAUUUUUGUUAUAAUAAUUAAUAAUAUUUUAUUGGGGUGAUAUUAAAAUUUAAUAAACUUUUAAUUUUUAGAAUCAUUGAUUUAUGAAUAAUUGAUCCGUUAUUAACGAUUAAAAAAAUAAGUUACUUUAGGGAUAACAGCGUAAUUUUUUUGGAGAGUUCAUAUCGAUAAAAAAGAUUGCGACCUCGAUGUUGGAUUAAGAUAUAAUUUUAGGUGUAGCCGCUUAAAUUUUAAGUCUGUUCGACUUUUAA
rnacentral:rRNA from 1 species